rnacentral:rRNA from 1 species
GAUGAACGCUGGCGGCGUGCUUAACACAUGCAAGUCGAACGGUGAAAGCGGAGCUUGCUCUGCUGGAUCAGUGGCGAACGGGUGAGUAACACGUGAGCAAUCUGCCCCUGACUCUGGGAUAAGCGCUGGAAACGGCGUCUAAUACCGGAUACGAGCUGCGAAGGCAUCUUCAGCAGCUGGAAAGAACUUCGGUCAGGGAUGAGCUCGCGGCCUAUCAGCUAGUUGGUGAGGUAACGGCUCACCAAGGCGUCGACGGGUAGCCGGACGGAGAGGGUGACCGGCCACACUGUGACUGAGACACGGCCCAGACUCCUACGGGAGGCAGCAGUGGGGAAUAUUGCACAAUGGGCGAAAGCCUGAUGCAGCAACGCCGCGUGAGGGACGACGGCCUUCGGGUUGUAAACCUCUUUUAGCAGGGAAGAAGCGAAAGUGACGGUACCUGCAGAAAAAGCGCCGGCUAACUACGUGCCAGCCGCCGCCGUAA